UAAAUACUCCCUCCGGCCGGAAAUACUCGUCGAAGGAAUGGAUGUAUCUAGAUGUAUUUUAGUUCUAGAUACAUUCAUUUUUAUGCAUUUCUUCAACAAGUAUUUCCGGACGGAGGGAGUAUUUG
rfam:Triticum aestivum genome assembly, contig: Triticum_aestivum_CS42_TGACv1_scaffold_321583_4BL